rnacentral:rRNA from 1 species
GAGGAUUACACUGUCUCCCCCCCCCAAUCAAUGAAACUGACCCCCCCGUGAAGAAGCGGGGAUAAGCAUAUAAGACGAGAAGACCCUAUGGAGCUUUAAACACAUCACCACUUAUCUUAACCCACCCCUCUAAGACAGAUAAAGCUGGUGUCCGUUUUCAGUUGGGGUGACUGCGGAGCAUAAUAAAACCUCCACGAUGAAAACCAAUCCAAGAACAACGCUUCUAAGAAUCAAUAAAUUGACAUAAAUUGACCCAAAUAAUAAUUUGAUCAACGAACCAAGUUACCCUAGGGAUAACAGCGCAAUCCAUUUCAAGAGCUCAUAUCGACAAAUG